GAAGCAGCACAACAGACCAUCAAAACAGGCAAAAUCAAUGUAGAUCUUAAGUCACACCCUACAGAUCAUCAUUCACUCAGGACUGAAUUCUGUACUUCGGCCUGUAUGUAAUAAAAGCUUUGGUGCAAAGCGGUGGUGGACUGAGGCCUGUGUUAAAGUGAAUUUCUGAAUCGAGGUCUCGGAGAUCAGCUGGCCACGUCUGUCCCCCUGCUGCUAACUUGGAGGGUCAGUUUGGUCUGUUACCCGGAAAUACAGCCCAACGAACCUAGCACACCGCAAGGCAAAUUAAUUUUAAGUGGGUUUCUUUGGUUUUGGUUUUGGUUUUUGGUUUAUGCACCCAUAGUAGCUGGCUGAAUGCUGGGUGGCUGGAGAAAGCUAAACCCAAACAAAUACUGUCAUUAAAAGAAAUACCAGCACGCUUUGGAAGCGGCGCUGUGCCAGUCCUCCCGAGCGACUUCAGCCAUGCGCUACGAGAGAAACGGGAUCGCUUGGACAGGUGAGCCCCAGCAUGGCACCAACGUCCUCUUCAUCGCAAGCAAUAAUGGUCCCCAAACAGCAGGGAGACGUGCUAGAGACGGCAGAUCUAUGGAGGAAUGCAGCAGCUGCCUGAACUCUCAGCUCAGAGGCUCCCUGCACUAGACCAUGAGUUGAAGAUUUGGAAAAGAUCCAUUACUUUUGUAUUGGCAGAGUUUUGCUCACCCUCAUGGAAAAGUCCUGUGUGACCUAAUGAGGCACAAACAUGGCUGGGCCGUAUGCAGUAUCAGUCUGGUCAGAUGAAGGCAGAAAAUCGCAUCGUUCCACCCACUUGCAAAUUUAAGACUUGCUGUUUCCGAGCUCAUUUUCACCCUCCCUCCCAGCUAGGCCUGUAAAGUGGUUUUGCCCCAACAUGCCCCAGUGACCAGCCCCAAGCAGCACAAGCCCAAGGACUACUGGGCACCAGUCCCUGCACCAGAAUGGAGCACAACUGCUUUGGAGGAAGCGCUACGCUGCAGGGACCCGUGCCGCUUCAGCGCUAUUCUGCUUAUACAAAAGGCAACUCGUUACUUUCUUUAGGAAAGCUUGUAGGACUUUUCCAUAGGGUUCGUUUAAAAUUCACCAGUCUGGUUUCAGCCAAAAGUGGCUGCACGCAAUGCAGAAAAGGCUGAUUUUGCUCAAUCCAAACUGGUAGCAAUGGAUGGACUGGCAAGGCUACACUUUCAGGUUCCAGAUGUGUAACUCCCACAUACAAGAGUCACAGCUCCCGUGCAGGAAGAGGUUGAGGGGAUGCUGCCCUUACAGCUUUCCCACGGGAAGGGGAAGCUUCAGCAAGCUGGGACCUACGCAACCUGUUGUAAAGGCCGGUGUAGAAAGGGUGGCUCUGGGUGAGUGGCAGUGGAGCAGAAGGGAUGCAUGUCACCACCAAAGUGUAGGCUACAGGGAAGAGCAAUGUGGCUACUUCUGUAUUUCCUUCCCCGCCACAUCACGGGUGAGGGAUAACCCUCCUUCAGCCUCAGGGCAGCGUGAUCGGCUGGAAACCACAACUCCAGAGAAGGGCAGGAAGGAGAGAGGAGCGGGGCUCUGAAGCAGGUUGCUGUAAGCUCUGGCCAUCUCUGGAUCCCCUCUGCUGCAUGCAGAACUGCUCUUCCUUCUGCGGGGAGGGCAGCCCCGGCCGUGUGACGGGUGGCAGGCUUCGCAAAGGCCAUCUGGAGGCCAUUGCCUCCCCUGGUUUUAACCGCAGAGGCGAGGUGACUCUACCCAAGCAGAUCAGUGUCCUCAUCUGGAAAGCGGGAUGGCAUCACCCACCUACCUCACACGAGGGUUGUGAAGCUAAAUUAAUUAAUGUUUGUAAAACACUUUGAGAUCCUCGGCUGGGAAGGUGCUAGAGAAGGCAAAAUACGGUGAUUAGCACCCAGGUACCACAGCAACGUGUGUAAAAGAAAUGUGACUCUUUGCAUUCAGUUAGCGGUUCCUACCCACACACAAACACAUGCUUUGCGGGUCCAGCGCUGGCUGGCCCGGGCACAGGAAGGCUGCACACAGUCGGGUACUUACAGACAAGGGAAAAAGCCUCACACAGUGCACUCACGGAGCUCAUCAGACAACUUCUAUAUGUUGCUGCAUUACAAUUCAGGACCUCUUUUAGAUACAAAGCUAGAGCGUUAGGGAAGAGAAUCAAUUCACUUCCCCUUGCUAUAGAAUGUAGCAGUCAAGGGCUGUUAACAAUCCUCAAAAAGUUCAGACCAAAUGGAGGUAUCACCUUGACUAUGUCCAACCGAUUUCUCCUUCUUUACAGCUCUCUGUCCACUGUAGGGAGUUACCAAGAUCCUUCCUUACGGUGGACAAAAACUGCUCCGUGAUUCAUACUUCAAUAAAUGCAUCACAGUUGAUAUUUCAAACUUAUUUGAAAGGAACAACCUGGAGAUGUUCUGCAUUUGUACCUGCACGCCGGAACAGAGUUACUCAGCAACAAGUUCCCUCCUCUGUCUUUCCCCGGUCCCCUCCCACAGAAGGCCUGCAGAGCUGUCCUGGGGUCACACCGGAGACAACUUCUGUACCAUCCUUGCUGGCGGGCCCAGCCACUGAUUUGAAUUUACCAUGCUACAUGGCUUACGCCAAUGACAUCCCAUAAGGACGGGGCUCAGGACGGGCUUGAGCUCAUCCCUGCCCUGCCUCUUCAUCCCUUCUACCACUGCCCUGCUCCCAAGUUGCCUUGCUGAAGGCAGGUCCGUGUGUGGGUGGUGUAACCAACUGCAGAGUCUGCUCUGGAGAGCAAACGCUAGCCCUGAACCCAUACAAGGGGUACACAUCCUGCUGGAGGCCACCAGCCUUUAGUGCCUUGGCCACUUUUCCCAGCAGAGACUGGUGAGGAAUUUUAGGACCUGUGGGAAGGUUAGGAUCUGGUACAGGUCCCUUGCAUGGCUAGAGUUAGGAAAUAUAUCUUCUUCUGUCUGGUAAGCGGUUUGGAUCUUCAACUGACCCAAAAGACCAGCAAUGACUUACAAGGCAAGUAGUCCUUGUGCUGCCAAGAUCACUGACAAUGUUACAACACCAAAGAGCUGUGGAUCUAAAGCUGCUACUAAGGGAUGUAGAGCAAUUGUUUCUAGCUUUGGAGGACCUCAAAACCACCUGGCUUUGAUGACUUUGAUGACUUGGCAAAAUGUCUUUUGCAUCCUGUGGCUACAGAGUAGCAGUCAGCCUUGUGAUGCAGCCCUGCCUUGCUGAGCUGGGCUGAGCUCUUUAUUGCCUCUAAGCCAAUUUGUGGAGGGUGAACUAAUGUAUUUUAACGUUGAUACAGAAAUGCUAAGAAAUCUCCUGGAUCAGCAAAAUGUUAUGCACUUGGAAGGACAGUCUGGCUGAAGUCCACUGACACUGAUGGAGUUACACUGCAAAGAACGUAAUCCAUAGUCUGUCUUCUCCGAAAGAGAAAAAGGCAGACUCCCCUGGCCAGAUCGCUAGCAAACCCCAUUCAGUUCCUUCCCAAAAUAGCCUUUUCGGCCCAAGCUCCUGAAACGUGUCUGUCCUUGCCUGAAGCAUACCCAUGCACACACUGCCACUUCCCUCAGUAAAGAAGCUCAGACCCACAUCCUCAGAGCUGUGUAUGGGGCCGUGCUUGCACCUAGGCUGUUGGCAUUAACAUCUAAGCUGGAUGUACGUCAAAAGCUCCUGGCUGGUUCUACUUGAAUAAGCAGCUGAGGGUUUGCAUAUUUAUCAUAUUUAUCAAAUGGCCUCCGUGGCCUAAAUGUUCAGCGCUGCAGAUCUCAAUGGCAUGCAUAAUUACCGUGUGUCUGUGGGCAUGCAAAUAAAAACAUUUGUGCUCUGGCAAGGCAGGCUGGUAAUCCCAUAAGAAUACAUUUUCUUGUGAAACUGUGAUACAGCACUUUGCAACAGCUUAAGGUGCCCCAAGAAUGGCUCGCUUUGUGGGGGGAUGGACGGACAGGGAUGGACAUGCCCACGUUCUUGACAGAGUGGGACACAGGGAUUGGGGGGGGGUUGUGGGGGAGCAGUAUUCACCUAGGCUGCUCAUCUUCAAAUCCUGAGAAAGAGCAAUUCUGGGAAAAAGUACGGCAGGUUGGUAUUUUUCUAUUCUGAAGUGGUUUGUUCCCUCACCAGAACUUGGGACCAUUGUGCAAAAUUGUCUCUUGGGGGAUUUUUUUUUAUAUGCAAAGCCAUAACUCCACUGCAAUUCAACAGAAAGAAAUGAGCAAAGCUCUUUUCCAAUGCAAUUUUGGGCUGCUUGGCGAACAGAAUUCAAAGCGCAACGGGAAAGAAUCGAUAAGUACAGAUUUCUAGACACAGCUGCUGCGCUGCCUGUCCAAGGCGUAAGAAAGCAGCUACACACCAAUGACCAGACUUGGAGCUCCUUCUGCUGGUUCAUGCAUAAUUCUGCACUGUAACAGAACAUAAAGGCUGCAGCUGCACAGCAAGAUUGUUCAGCAGGGUGGGGUUGUGGAAAUCUGUUCAGAAUGAGAAAAAGAAAACCCCAGGGUUUAUAAUUUGGCUAGACAAAACUGGUAAAGAGAGAUGCUGCGCAGUCAGUUGAAACCAUGUCUUUUUUUAGUACCAGGCAACGUCACUUGGAAUCUUUCGAAUUUCUCAGCUCACAAGAAAACAAAAAGAUUUUAAACCGUCUCUUUGUCCCCUUCUUUUUGUCAAAGUGCCUCUUCUAUUUGAGCUUACAACACGACCUCAGCAGCACCUGGAGAUUUAGGAGCAUGCUGUUAACUUACAGGCAAUCCACAUGGACACGUGCAGACAGACACGGUUAGAAUACAGCAGGACAGCUACAUGAACACCGCACCUCUCCAGAGUGAGUACGAACGCACACAGAAUACACGCAGCUUUGCCUAUAUAUAACCAUGGAAGCUUGCCUUACGAGCUGUUUAUUCCAUCCUCCGCCUUUAAGGUUUUAGCUUUGAUCAGGAGCUAUUUCAUAGCUACCUAGCUCUCUAGGUAUCAUGCUGUUAGUGAGCCAGAGUUGAGUGGGAGACAAUAAAAUAUCAACACCUACUUUCUCUACUGGCCGAGUGGAGGCUGCUGGUAGGAGAGGGAGCAGCGCUGUGCUAAGGAACCUUCCAUCUCCCUGCUCUCAACAGCAGCGGAGCCAACUUGCAUCUUCCAGGAGCCAUGCUCAAAAACCCCAUAAAUUCAGUUUCCUCCUGAGUAUUUUGUAACCCGUACACAACAUGGGGUAGCCAGGAACAUACCUCAGGAACACUAAUUGUUGUACGGUUAAUUACUCCUGCAAUAGCAACAAGUUUAAGUUAAAGAAAUAAGCAGUAAUGGCUGAAUGGGUACGACUCUUUGCCCUUCUUCAGCACAUUUCAACAGAGGAUCUCAAAGCACUUCACUAUUCACUUGCUUGCUGCCACAGUUGGAGUUGGUGAACUACGCCGUGCCUGCUGCUCAUUCUGCCCCGACUGCAGGCCUAGUUGUUACGGCGAGAGCUGUGGGUGGCAGCUGUGCAAAGGGGAUGCCUGCCUCCGAAGGCAGCCCUCAGCAGCUGCCGGCGUCACGGGGUUACACUUCCACGCUGAACUGCCCGACUCAAAUUUUGUCAUACUCGCCCAGCUCAAGAGGAAUUUAAGUGGUGCAUUAGCCACGGCUCUUUACACAGCCAGGGAUUUUACUCAGCAGCCUGGCAGAGGUAGAUAUUACCAGGGAUGGUACCGGUGAGGAGAACAUGACUUGGCUCCCUUUCCUAACCACUAGCCUAACUGCCCUGGUUUGGAGGAGGAGGGAGGGAAAAGAGCUAACUGCAGCUUGAGAAACGCAGCAGAGGAAGAGUCAUCUGGUGUCCUGGCUGUUCCACAGCCAACCACAGCAUCUACAAAUACUGAGGUAACCCGACCUUGCCGAAUGUAUUUAUCAAGUCUGUUGCCGCAACCUGAUGCCAUUAGACUAGACAUUAAGAUAAUGAUUCCUCCUGCGAUAAGCAAAAGCUAAGUGAGGUAAGAUGGAAUAAAUGAUGCUAGGGCCUUAUCAAUCAAAGCCAGGUGAAACCUAAUUUAUCCCAUCUUGUACUUAUAUAGUCCCCAUCUCCUCCAGCACUCUGUAAACUGAUAGCAAAGAUCACUCUGUCUGUUUCAUUGAUAGGAAGAGAUAGUUCAUCCAUCCCUGCCCUAAAGUGCAGCCUCUUCUGGGUAGCAACACUGCCCCUUACCUAAAACACCCCACCAAACCGACCCCCCUUGGCUCUUCAAACGAGGGCCAACGGAAAACCCAAGAGGCCUGUUUUGCAUCUCACCAAAACGCCCCUGGAGAAGCACGUGCCCAGGGCCGAGUCACCGGUACCAUCCUUAGCAGCCUCCCAGCCAGGAAUUAAUUCAGGCUUUGCCUCAGUUUGCACAUCUGACCAGCUCUCAGGUGAUACUGGCCGACUCCAGCUGGGUCACCAGUGCCUUGCAGGAGAAGCCGUCUCUCUGCACUGCCACCAGACCAGUGCUGCGGACCCCAAGCAUGAAGCGCUCGGGUGAGCUGCAGGCAGGCGCUGCGUAACGCCUGCCUGUCGGAGGCUUUGGGUAGGGUCUGGUUUUUACAAGCAAUGGGAUAAGCUCUGCGAUUUCUCUGAACCUGUGGGGAAAUACUACCGAGAACACGAUUAGCUCCGUUCUUUCACCUACACUGUGGGAAGCUCUGUGAAAAAAGGGAAGUGACCUUGACUAUCUGAAAAUGCAAAUGCCCUGCUUUGUUUUAAAGUGAUUAGUCUAUGUGUUGCUCAGUGUCUUUCAGUCCCCCCGAGGCUAUGCCUACAUGUGUGAAUAGGAUGGGAAAACCUGUCAGGGCCACGUCAAUCUUGUUAGCGAGGAAGAUGCAAUAAAAUAGGCUUAAACAUUCAGGAGAGCCACAGGAGGUACCUACAGGCUCCGUUACCUGUAAGACCCGGGCGAAGGCAGCGCAGGCACACUAACGCGCAGUCACCUCCCUGGCCGUGCAGCCUGGCUGGGGCAGCGCACAAGUGUGAGAAGUCAGAAAAAAGCUGUUGGGUGUUUGGGUCGGGGUUUUUAUGGCAUAGUUCGCUGUGAGCUCAAGUGAUCAGAAAGGAAGAAAUUAGCAGGAAAAUUCAGUGAUUCAGAGGGUGUUUUACUGCGGGCCAGAGCGGUUCAUGCUGGCAGAUGAUUUAACCCCCGCUGGGUUUGCAUAGCUGAGUAUUUACGGGCGGAUUUCACGACAGCAUCCUUCUAAUCUCAGGGCUAGGGGCGAUGGUGAUUGAAUAUACAUUUCUCUCCUUCCGCAAGUCCCAGACCAGCAGGCUAAAGGCCCGCCAGGGCAGAGGGUAUCUGCUUCGGUGAAGCCGUGGCACAGUGCAGAUGAGAAUACACAGGACAGGCAUGAGGGAGCUGGCUCACAGCCUGGGUCUGACAAGCUAUCCUGGGGUGGGAAACCCUCCCACCUAGCACUAAGGUGACUUCAAAUUUGAAUAGAUGUUUCAUUUUCCAAAAUGAAACGAUCAGGGGAAAUGGUGCUUUAAGAACGGGGUCUCCUUCCCAGGCACUGCAGCUCUAAUCCCUGACAGCUCCGGCUUCCAGGAACAUGAGCAAAAAUCCCUUACGUGUGCACGCUGUCCUGCACGGGGACAUAUGUGCACACAGCUGGGGAUCAGAAAAGUAACCAAAUGUUUCUGAAAGCUGCAAACACUAAUCGUUGAGGGGGAGAUUAAAAGUGGCCAGCAGAACAAAAGCACUGAUGGAUAGGGGCAGUGAAGGAGGCUUAGAAAUGGAGAAUGUACCCUGAUAAUCCUGGGUCUACGUUAAGGAUGGACUGGAGAUCCACAAGGGAUCCAGUUUCAAGGGAACUUUAGCCUUGGUUCCACUGCUUUAGUCAAUAAAGAGCACAACUCUGCAAGCACAAUUUGAUGCUCUCUUAAAGCGGCAGUGUCAGUGCAGCAGCGAAGGGCUCAGUGUACCUGGGCUUCUCUGCAGGAAAGGCGCACGCUUGCCUGCAGCUUCACCAGGGCUGUGGGGUUUUUUGUUGUUUUUGUAAGUCAAGACAAAUACUUUUCUCUGUUUCUUUACUAUUUCUAGGAGACACCACACUGAAUUCUGUUCCCAGUUACCACACUGACAUUGAAAAAAGCUAACGGGCAGUAACCAAGAGGCAAAAUCUUAAACAGUCAAUGCAAAAAGAAAACAACGACAACAAACAGCCCUUUUCCCUGUCUGUAGGUAAGGUGCAGAGCCAACACUACCCAUUUACUUUCUGUCUAAUGGACUUAAAGAACGCCAAAAAUUGUUUUAAUGCUGUCUUAAAGGCACCUGACCUAAUAUCAUUAUGUUUUGCCCAAUCUAAUAAGUAGUGGAAAACCUGGUAUAUUGCUGAAAUCUGACCUCGCACAUCAUUAAAUCGAUUUGGAAGGAAGCCUGGCACCGCACACACAUUUCUGUGCAGGCAUGAGUGUUAGGAGGGGGUCACUUCCAGAGGGGGCUGACGUGUGCCCCACACAGGACCCUCACCGGGGAGCACAAACCUCUCAAAACACCAAGAGUUGCUUUCUCUCCUAAUCACCUGCAUUAAGUGCAUUAGGUUAGAAAGCAGAGUUUUAAGGUUUCUUCUCCUGCUGUCAGCUGAUCUCUCGGCACCCCUCCCUCCCUCAACGCACAGCACUGGAGUGUAAACGCUUCCUUUUCAAAUGCACACCCGCCAGCUCCAGAGCAAUGCUUCUGGGAGGUGUGGUACCACAGUGCAUGAAAUAAGCUGCAGUUUAUACUAUUUGAAAAAUGUUUUUCUGCUUCACCUCUAACAAAGUUGAUUGCAUUUUCCGUUUCACCUCCUUCAUGGCUCUUCUCUCUUCCUUAAGUAUUCUGUGACAGGGAAAUUACCAUGGUCUCCCAUUUAAGAGGUGGAGGGAACAACUGAGAUAAUCUAGAAACAAGUCUGUAAUAGGCACCCACUGACACGAGAGCAGGGCUCCCCACACGGUCAGGUCGAGCUGCUGAGCCGUCAAGCCCUGCUGUAGCUGUGGAGACCUGGCCCGCACAGUCUGUAAAUUACAAUGAAUAAAUAGCUCAGCUGAACGGAGCGGAAGCAUUCCUGCUCCUAAAGGGCUUCACUGCUUUUCAGGUAUAACCAAUGCUCCAAAACCAACUUAAAGCCUCUUCCGAUGCUGCUACCGCGUUGUGGGAGGCUGCACGGGGAGGCCAAAGGCAGCGCAUGGUGCCUGCAGGCAGCAACCCCCUGACAUGGGCACAGGCCCGAGGGCUGCACCUCAGCCUCAGCUACACAGCCCCCAGUGCCUGGCAAGGUCUUUGGCAAAAAAAGUUGUUGCUGAUAUAUGCAAGAUGCAUAUGGCAAGAUUCAAAACAUCAGUCACUAAAAGCCAACUCUCAGGAAUUUCCUCCUCCCUCCGUCUUCUGAGCAAUGCCACCAGCUGCCUGCUCCUGCAGCCUCAUGUCUCUCUGUGGGUCUCCGGCACAAGACAAACCACAGAGUAAGAAAACUAAGAGUUUUCAGCAAAAUAUCCGGUUCUGGUACUUAAUUUAAUUCAUCUGAGACUGGGAUACGAUUACCACAAUGCAGGACAAAAGAAAUAGAGCUACUAAUUUAAUGACCCUAUUUGUCAUUUUUCAGAUUUCACAUCUUAAGUAAAACAGCCAGGCUUCACUUCACUUGGUGCUUGGGGUCCGGGUGAGUUUGUCUGACUCAGGGACUUCAUCUCACAAAAAGAACUGCCAGUGUUACAGCAUAAACUUCUUCUUCAUAAAAGAAAUGCUGACUGGUGUUCUAGGAGCUAAUUAAUUGUAUAGCCAGAGAAGUCUAAGGUAAUAGCCCCUCCUUCUUCAUCUCAGAGACAAAGAGAGAGAAAGAGAAAGAGAGAAAACAAGAGAGCAAUUGCUGUGUAAGAAAUAAGUAUGGUUAGGCACAUUAUAUUUGUCAGGAUGCAAUCAGUGAUUUAAGUGGGAAUACUGGCAGGCAUGCUCAGGCACCUUUCAACUGUGUGACUUAAUGACCGAAUAGUGCAAUUAUUAAUUAAUUAUAUAAAGAUAUAAUUAACUGAACAGCAAAUAAUAAUUUAAACUGUUUAUGUCAUGGCCAUCAUGCAAGUCAGAUUCUCUGAUUUUCCAGUUGCCAUCAUCUCUGUGGAUGCUUCCGUGCUGAGGGACAAGCAUGCAAGUGGUGAGGGGCCAAUCCGCAAAACCAAGCUCGUGGCAGCGCCCGCCACUGCCUGAAGUCGCCUACGUUGUGCAAGAUACGCAUCCCUGGGCCCGUUUUGGGGGCUGUGCAUCCUUUAAGCUUAGAAAAUCUGGCCAGGAGAGUUUUUAGAGAACAUCUUAGAAGACAACAUAGGAAGUUAGUAGAGAGGAGAAGACUAAUGACGAUGGAGAGACACAGCAUACCAAGGAGUUUACAGUUGGCCUAGCAAACCACUACCGCACCAGCAAAGCCAGUAGACAACGAACAGGUGAGGCAAAAGCAAAGAGCUCCUUCAACUUUUGCAAAAAAACCAACCCAGUGCCUGUACAGAGUGGGACGAACCUGCCUGGAACUGACCACAGCCAAGACGUGACGAAUUCUCUCAAAACCCAUUUAUAGGCCUAGUUCUGCCAUGGUUCUUUGGUAACGAUUGGGUAUGUCGAUGACUUUGUGAAGCUUUGGAAACCUGGGAAAAUAACCUCUCUGACCUUCCCUCUGUAUUUAGGAUUUCAAAACCUGUAGCUGCAAGUUACUGCGAGUGAGAUUUAAUGCUGGCUGCUUCGCCAGCUGAGGCGCCGUGUAAUACCCAGCAUGGCAUUUACUGGGUGGCUGUAGCCUGCCUGGGUGGGGAAAUGGAUCUGACAUUAAAGAGAUAUAAUGUCUUUA